AAUAAACAUAUAGUCGACUUAAAGCAGGGGUUCUCAACCUUUUGUAACUUGAGGCCCACUUCCGAUUGUUCAAAAAUUUCCGAGGACCACCUUCCCAAAUAAAUAACAAACUGGCCUGUAAAUAUGUGUUAUGCCACUGUCAGGUGUAAUGA